AAAACAUGUCUUUGCGUGUUAAUUUAUGUAAAGUCUGGCCUGCCCAAUGAUGGAAAUUUAAUGGCCGCGGUAUAUUGACCGUGCGAAGGUAGCAUAAUAAUUUGUCUUUUAAUUGAGGACUAGUAUAAAUGGUCGAACAAAAAGUUAGCUGUCUCUGAGUUAUAUCUUGAAUUUAACAUUUAAGUGAAAAGGCUUAAAUAAUUUAGGGGGACGAUAAGACCCUAUAAAUCUUUAUAUUAAUUUGUUGUUAAAUUGGAAAAUAGAAUUAAUUUCGGGCUUAACAAUUUUAAAUAUUUUGUUGGGGAGACAGAAGUAUAAAUAAAUAACUACUUUAAAGAGAAAGUUAAUGAUAUUUAAUGUAGAGAUCCUUUACUAAGGAUUGUAGAACAAGUUACUUUAGGGAUAACAGCGUAAUUUCUUUUGAGAGUCCAUAUCGAAAAAGAAGCUUGCGACCUCGAUGUUGAAUUAAAGAUCCUAUAAUAGCGCAGAAGUUAUAAAAGGAGGUCUGUUCGACCUUUAAAUCUUUACGUGAUCUGAGUUCAGACCGGA
rnacentral:rRNA from 1 species